CAUCUGGUUUGGGCAACAUGAAAGCACAGUCUGAUUCACAUCCUGGCUCCAUUUAUCUCCAUCUCCCAGAGGUGCAGGCCAGGCUUUUCAUGAAGAGCAUUUAGCAGAGCUUGAACUGUAGUGCAGGAGGAUUAAGUAUUUUCUGUUCCUGUCUGCAAAGAAUACUCACAGAUUUGUGGAUGUGAGGGAGGGACCGAGGGAGAGUGUGCAGGGGCUCUGACUGCAAGGGGGGAGCAUUCAGACAUUUCCAUAGCUCAACUUUGAAAUUUGGCCUGAAAGUCCAAUGCAAAGCCCUGAUGGUCAGCAGAGCAGCUGCAGGUUAAUGUGAGCAGCAAAGUUCAUCUCUGCCUCUGAACUCCCUCAAGCUAUAUGGAUUUUGUUUGGUAUGCUCUUCUUCACCCUUCCUUCCUCACUUUGCCAGCUAAAUUCAGGCAAGGUAUGAGCUGUCAAAAGAAUAACUUACAAGUACAGGAGCUAGAAAAGUCUUGAAGUGUAAAGCUGGCAGGCCCCAAAGACCUGCAGGGACUAUCCAAUCCAUCUGGUGCUCCAGGGUGCAGAGCAAACAGGCUUUUGACUAGUUCAUAACCGCAGCAUAUGCAAAAGGCUCAAUUAUUGCUUCUUAAAAAGCCCAAAUUAUCUCCUGGAGUUGGAGACUGACAGCCACACAGUCUCCACAGCGUUAUGCACGACUGAAUUUUUGCUGGCUUAUUCUCUGCUGUUCUGUACUGCCUGUAAUUGCAUUGCAUUUUAACUGUUUAGCAUCGUCAGAACUUCAGCCCCAGGGGCAGCGGAGGUGGUGAGAGCUCAAUACAUCAAAUUACUACCCAAAGAGCAAGCAGACAAAAAGCAGAGCAGGGAGGGAGGGAAACAGACAAAUGAGCCACAUUCAUUAGAAAAACAGCAGCCCUGACCAGGGAAGCGUCCUACUGAUGUAAUGAGAAAGGUGAAAGUUGUUAAUAAUAAUAAAGAACACAGUAACACAGUGGCUUUUCUAUCAGAAAGCACCAAAUCUGGAGAAAAUAAAUGCU